rnacentral:rRNA from 1 species
GACAGAGGGUGCAAACGUUGUUCGGAAUUACUGGGCGUAAAGCGAGUGUAGGCGGUUUGGAAAGUCGGAUGUGAAAGCCCCGGGCUCAACCCGGGAAGUGUACUCGAUACUACCAAGCUAGAGUAUCGGAGAGGUUGGCGGAAUUCUCGGUGUAGAGGUGAAAUUCGUAGAUAUCGAGAGGAACACCGGCGGCGAAGGCGGCCAACUGGACGAAUACUGACGCUGAGACUCGAAAGCGUGGGGAGCAAACAGG